CCUACGGGAGGCAGCAGUGGGGAAUUUUGGACAAUGGGCGCAAGCCUGAUCCAGCCAUGCCGCGUGAGUGAAGAAGGCCUUCGGGUUGUAAAGCUCUUUCAGCCGGGAAGAAAACGCAUGGGUUAAUACCCUGUGUGGAUGACGGUACCGGAAUAAGAAGCACCGGCU
rnacentral:rRNA from 1 species